AUGAAUUUAGCACAAAAAAUAUCACAAAGUAUUGAAAACACUGACUACAAAAAUGCGUUGGAUAAUCCAGAACGUUGGAGACUCUACUGUAUUUUUAUCUCUACCCCACUCACAAUAUAUUGUUAUUAUAAUAUUUAUUUAAUGUAUACCUCACUCACAAUACCUUCUUCUUCUUCUUCUAUUUAUCUCAUGUAUACCCCACUCACAAUACAUUGUUCUUAUUAUAUUUAUUUCACGUAUAUCCCACUCGCAAUAUUGUUAUUAUUAUAUUUAUUUAAUGUAUACCCCACUCACAAUACAUGUCAGUGGAGGGGGGGCCACGGGUGUCCCCUGUUUGUGGAGGUGCGAGGCUGUCUAUGGAAGUGGAACCAUCCACCACAUACACAUUUUUUCACUUUUAUUAUGUGUAUAGAUAGAUAGAUUAUAUUCUUUUAUACCCGGUUGAUCUCCCCUGAAGUGGACUCAAACUGAGGGAGAGAUUUGAGGUUUCUCUCCAGCCUCCAGGUUGUUGGGAAUUGUGGGAGUUGGAGUCCGAAAAACCUGGAGGGAAGGCCGAAGCUGGAUAAGGCCUCAGUGUCUUCUG
rnacentral:lncRNA from 1 species